CACAAUUCCACAAAGAGGAAUUAAAACUAGGUGUUCAUGGAGAACACAGAAGAAUGUCAGCCACCUUUAACUAGACUUGAAUACAAAUAAAAUAUAAGAUUUUACAUUUGAGAUGCUGAAGAGUCCCAGUGUGAUAACUGUCUUCAAUCAAUUAUAAGGACACUAGUACAAGAAAAUAUAUAUCCUGGCUUAAAUUAGUGUAGAGCAAGAAGAGGACAUAGAAAUUGGCCCAAUUAAAAGAAAAAUGCAGAUUCAAUAUUAUAAAGGGAUUUCUGAGAGCUCCAUCAUGGAACUGAGACAGCCUACAAGAAGCCCGGAGUUCCAUUUAGAGUGUGGUUAUGAACAGCAUGAAUAAAUAGCAUUAUCCCAAACAGAUCUUAAGUUUGGACCAGAAGAGUGAUUCUCCAAAGCUACAAUGGACAGUAGAGCUAGUGACCAAGUGAGAACAUGGAUUUCUUGGUGCCAGAUAUCAACCUUUUAUGAUCAGGCCCAGUGGUCCUAGAACUGAUGAUGUCACCCCAUAUGAAUUCUGGAGGACAUAUAGAUACCAGAGGAUACUUGUGAUGUGGCACUGCCAACUUAACAAAUACUCAAGGUUGAAAUGUAGAAAGAAUCAAGAUUAUGACCCAUUAACCAAAGUCUCAGACAUACAUUUCAGAGAAUGGAAGCAUAAAGAGGAGGGUAAAGAAAGUCAUGGAUGAUGAACCAUAUUUACACUAUUUACAUAUUUUAUAUAUUAAUUUGCCAACUUGCUUGAAAAAUACACAUAGUAAUGUUUGACAAUUGAAAUAAAGUCAUAAUUCCUAAUAUCA
rnacentral:lncRNA from 1 species